GACGAACGCUGGCGGCGUGCUUAACACAUGCAAGUCGAACGGAAAGGCCCUGCUUUUGUGGGGUGCUCGAGUGGCGAACGGGUGAGUAACACGUGAGUAACCUGCCCUUGACUUUGGGAUAACUUCAGGAAACUGGGGCUAAUACCGGAUAGGAGCUCCUGCUGCAUGGUGGGGGUUGGAAAGUUUCGGCGGUUGGGGAUGGACUCGCGGCUUAUCAGCUUGUUGGUGGGGUAGUGGCUUACCAAGGCUUUGACGGGUAGCCGGCCUGAGAGGGUGACCGGCGACAUUGGGACUGAGAUACGGCGCAGACUCCUACGGGAGGCAGCAGUGGGGAAUAUUGCACAAUGGGCGGAAGCCUGAUGCAGCAACGCCGCGUGCGGGAUGACGGCCUUCGAGUUGUAAACCGCUUUCGCCUGUGACGAAGCGUGAGUGACGGUAAUGGGUAAAGAAGCACCGGCUAACUACGUG
rnacentral:rRNA from 1 species